GUGCUCGCUUCAGCAGCUCAUAUACCAACACUGGAAUGAUACAGAGAUUAGCAUGGCCCCUGUGCAAGGAUGACAUGAAGCAUUCCAUAUUUUU
rnacentral:snRNA from 1 species